GUUUGCGUAGCUUAAAUACAAAGCAUGGCACUGAAGAUGCUAAGAUGGAACUUAUUAUAUUCCGCAGACA
rnacentral:tRNA from 1 species